CAAAACUGCCUAGAUACGCUUCACAACUGGAGCGAAAAAUGGCUAUUGGAAGUCAACCUCAAAAAAACGAAAGUCAUGAUUCUGCAAAAACAUAAAUCUAAACAAAAAAACAUUCAAUUUAACAUUGGAAAAAAUCCAAUCUCCAUGACUAAUGAAUAUACGUACCUAGGUUUAAAAUUAACGCCCACCACAAAAUUUGAUAUUGCCAGCCAACGACUGAGCGAAAAAGCAAUACAUGCUCUUUACAAAAUACGCAAA